GUGCUUGCUUAUAGAUGGUGUGAUCCAUCACAUAUUGUUCAGUGUGUUCAAUUUGGCUGUCAAUAUGAUUUCCUUUUUUAUUUUCUUUGCUUUUGCUGCGGAGUUGUGAGAUUCCAUAUUGUCUAUGAGUGUUGUAC
rnacentral:pre_miRNA from 1 species